GAUGAACGCUGGCGGCGUGCUUAACACAUGCAAGUCGAACGGUGAACGAGGGAGCUUGCUCCCUCCGGAUCAGUGGCGAACGGGUGAGUAACACGUGAGCAAUCUGCCCUGGACUCUGGGAUAAGCGUUGGAAACGACGUCUAAUACCGGAUACGAGACGUGAAGGCAUCUUCAACGUCUGGAAAGAACUUCGGUCCAGGAUGAGCUCGCGGCCUAUCAGGUAGUUGGUGAGGUAACGGCUCACCAAGCCUACGACGGGUAGCCGGCCUGAGAGGGUGACCGGCCACACUGGGACUGAGACACGGCCCAGACUCCUACGGGAGGCAGCAGUGGGGAAUAUUGCACAAUGGGCGCAAGCCUGAUGCAGCAACGCCGCGUGAGGGACGACGGCCUUCGGGUUGUAAACCUCUUUUAGCAGGGAAGAAGCGAAAGUGACGGUACCUGCAGAAAAAGCACCGGCUAACUACGUGCCAGCCGCCGCAGUAAUAC
rnacentral:rRNA from 1 species